GCGUCGGUAGUGCAACGGUUCAGCACCCGGCUCCGGAUAGGGUGAAAUCUGGAUUCAAAUCCCUGCUGACGCA